GUGAAAAAGAGGCUAUGAGUUUGAAGGAGAGCAAGGAGUGGUAUGUGGGGGGAUUAGAGGAAGGAAAGGGAAGAGAGAAAUGUAAGUAUAUUAUAAUCUCAAAAAUAAAAAAGUGACAUCAUUUCUGGAUUGCCCAUUAUCUAAAGACAGCUAUUUGUGUUUUGAGAAAAUUACUUUUUACAAGUUUAUCCACACAGCAGAGCAGGGUGUUGUCAAUAGUCUUUCUGCCUUAUGCUUCUAUUUUUCCCUACAUAAAAUAAACUGUAUUACAAUUUUUAACUGGAGUGUGAUUUUCUUUCAGCUGAUGAGUUUAGUGAGAAUUUUACUACACUUUGCACCACAGGGGAAAAUGAUAAAACAAUUUAAAAUGAUUGCAUACAUCCCUAUCCUGACUCUGCCAUGUAAUAAAAAGACAUUCACCACCGCCAA
rnacentral:lncRNA from 1 species